rnacentral:snoRNA from 1 species
AUUCCAUGAUGGGGACAUUCUAGUACGUAGUCUUGAAAGCGCUCCCAUGCUUCUGGAACAGAUUCAUCAUUUUGUUGCUGAAAACUUGUAAUCUUCCCACGGAGAGC